UCACUUGACUGAGUUCUGUGUGUUUUCCCAUCACUCUCAAGAAAAGAUGAUUUACGUUGUUUUAUCGAUGGGUGUUUCCUGAAACUUUCUUGUUUUGCGCAAUGCAGGCUGAAGUAUAAAAGAGGGAGGUUGGCAUGGAGGCAGAGAUUGUUUUUUAAAACCACGAAGAUGAAGCAGCUUGCAGUCCUGUACUAGCAUUAAGCUGCUGCGUAUGUGAAGGGCAAAUUCAUGAUGAGAUCGAUGACAAAGUCCGUCUGUGCUCAGGAUCGUCCUGCUGCUUUGAAAUCAGUCAAAACUUGGGAGCAGUGGGAGAGAAGGUCGCAAACAUGGCAGAAAAAAUAACACUCCUGGAGGCGAAGUUGCAGAACACUGAAAAAGAAGUCUUGGAGCUGCGUAGCCUGACUGGAGGUCAUAUGAUGUAUUUUUUUUCACUUUUAAUUUCAUGUGUUAAUUUCAUGGUCUCAGGCAAACCUCAGGUGGCCUUUUCUACAGCUCUCGUGGAAUCUGGCUGGGAAACCAUUGGACCUUUCACUUCUAAUACACCACUUAAGUAUAAGAGGGUCAUCUCCAACACUGGAAAUAACUACAAUCCUACAACAGGCAUAUUUUCAGCAACCGUCAAAGGAACCUACUUCUUUCGUUUCACGAUGUACAACAAUGUUUCUCCUACUCCAAACUCUGUUAGCCUCAUGAAGAAUGAUGUGCGGCUUACGUCAGUAUGGGACAGCUCAGGGUCUGAUGUGAAUGACUCAGGUAUGAUGAUGCCAUGGGCUACAACACCUUCUCUGGUUUUCUGCUCUUCUCUGAAUAAUCUGCAUGUGUGUUUAUACUUUUAAAAGGAAUAUAAUCUCACUUUAUUAAUACUGGUAACUGGUAGCUGGUAGCAAAAGCCUAACUACUAAUAAACAAUAAGCCUUGUUAUUGUUUAAGGCUUCUGUGGUCAGAAAUGUAGAAUAUGUUGACCUAUUUGAUUUAUUGUGUUUAAUUAGUUUGAACUACAUUUUGAAUACGUUUGAAGAUGAUAAGAAUAACAGUAAUUAAGGGUAUAAAUAGUUGAUUGUCCUAUGGGGAGGGGCUUAACAUAUAUAAACCUCUGGCCACAAGUGUUUUGGAGUUAGUCUGACUGUGGCUGUAGAGCAGAGAGGUCCUAGUUAUAUUUCUUCGACCUGUACAUAUAUAUUGAGGUUUGUUUUUCUUUCUAUUUUGGACUAGAUCCUUGUUACUGUGUUCUUUCAGCAUUUUGGCUGUUAAUAAAAGCACUUAAGGAUACAUUGUGACUCUAGCCAUCUUAUUUAAUUCCUAGUUUUUUCAUCGACCCUUUUUGUAACAUAUGGUAUAAUAUAGUUGUAAUAAUGAUAAAUAUCUGGCUUUCUCUGCGCCAUCUUUAUUUUCAUUUCAUGUGUGUUUAGACUUUUUCAUGUGUACAGCUCCAGCACAUGUGAAAUUAAAGUGUGAAGUUUUGUAUUGAAUGUAUAACUGCAGUAAAAAAAAUGAAAUGAAAAAAGAUGCUAAUGAGAUUCAUAUGAGUUUAUUGUUUUGAAGACAUAACAUUUUUAAGUUUUGUAUAUCACCUUGGUAUAAUUCAGGUGUGUUCAAAUGAGCUCUAGAAAUAAAAUGUACUUUCUUACUAACUUGCUUAUUGACUUACUUUACUCACCAUUUAUUUUUCUCCAUACUUCAACUUGAAUAUUGUCAAUAGCCUCUUCACGGACAAGAGAACAGGUGACUUUCUGGUUAUUGAAAUGCUUAUUCUUGAAUGAUUGAUAUACUCAAACCUGGGGUAUUUAGUAAUCAGAGUUUAUCUUUUAUAUGAAAAA